GCGGCGUACCUAAUACAUGCAAGUCGAACGCACAGCGAAAGGUGCUAGACACCUUUCAAGUGAGUGGCGAACGGGUGAGUAACACGUGGUACAACCUGCCUCAAGGCUGGGGAUAACAUUGUGGAAACAGAUGCUAAUACCGAAUAAAACUAUAGCUGUCGCAUGACAACAAAGUUAAACACGGCGACUUCGGCGUCACCUAGAGAUGGAUCCGCGGUGCAUUAGUUAGUUGGUGGGGUAAAGGCCUACCAAGACAAUGAUGCAUAGCCGAGUUGAGAGACUGAUCGGCCACAUUGGGACUGAGACACGGCCCAAACUCCUACGGGAGGCUGCAGUAGGGAAUCUUC
rnacentral:rRNA from 1 species